AUGAUGUUCAAAAAAAAUGUCAUAUACAUGUCAUUUCUAAUUAGGGGGUAUAUUCAACGAUUUUGAUAUGAGGGAAAUUAUUCAACUACCACCAUGAUUUCUUCAAGUAAAAACAAUUUUCAAGAAACUUCAGCAAUAUGUGAAUAUUCGAAUCUAUCCAUUUCUAAAAAUUUGAAAUCAACUUCAUCUGUUAGGAACAAGAGAGGUGGUAUUAUAUUCAUUUGGCCGCAAAGAAGAAAUUUUCAUAAAUACAGGGAAUUGAUUUUUUCAACAUGGUUUUUAACGCACUUAUACUAUUGGAUGCACCUGUUACAAUUUCUUCCUACUGAUCAUGUUCUUAAUAUUCCACAUCCUCCGUGGAGUUAUGAACCACCUCCACUUAAACCUAGAGAAAGAGAUUUUAUUAUUGAACCUAACUGGGAUUCUUAAUUACUGAUAGCUUCUAAAUUAUAUAUGUUUGUUGAAUGAAUAACUUAGAUGUAUAUAAAGCAAUGAAGAAAUAAAUAUCAUUUCACUCCA